GACCGUCAGGAAGGCCGGAUUCGGUCAGAUCCACGAGAGAAGGCCCAGGGCUGAGAGUCCAGGAGGCCCCAAUCGGGGGAGAGGAAGAGGGUGGUCCCGGCCCGAGGCAGAAGGUGGGGCUGCCAGGAGAGGGCGGGGUCCCCGCAAGAGGAGUCCCGGGAGGCCCGCCUAGAAACAGGCCGGGCAGCCAGGGGGAAUCCAGGGAGGGGGGGCGCUCCCUUGGGCGCUGGGACGGAGAGGAAUGAGAAGGCGGGGGCCUGUCACAGACCUGGCCCUGCGGCCCCGAGGGCCCGGUCCCCCCGCCCGCCGCUCACCUGGGCACGCAGCUGGACGAGCUCCGGUCCACCUCCCAGGCCUACCCCGAUUGCCACGUCCAACGUGGGAUCUCCCACACUACCACCCACAUCCAUCACCUCCAGAAACCAUCUUGAAGGCUCCUGACAUCGACAUCUCAGUUGCUGCACUUCCAGCAAAGCAACACCAGUAGCACCACAGCAGAACUUCUCUCCCAGCACCCGGCAAAUGCCCGUUGGGCCCCUUAAGUCCAACCUAGUCUAGCCUGUUGGGAAGACUUCUGAAGACCAGAAGACUAGAACCUGGAGAAAGCAAGCUCCCCCUCCCUCCCCCUACCAAAAUUAGAGGCUGAGUGCUGAGGACUCCAGACAAUCUAGAUUUGGGGCUGUGUUCCCUCCCAGCUCAGGUCGUGACCUCACCGUUCAAGCCCCAUGUCAGACUCCGAGCUGACAGUGCAGAGCCU